rnacentral:tRNA from 11 species
CAGACCUGCGCUCUAACCACCUGAGCUAUGAUCCC